AUUGAACGCUGGCGGCAGGCCUAACACAUGCAAGUCGAGCGAGCGGCGGACGGGUGAGUAAUGUAUGGGGACUGCCCGAUAGAGGGGGAUAACUACUGGAAACGGUAGCUAAUACCGCAUACUAUCGGAUAACCCAUAUGGGAUUAGCUAGUAGGUGAGGUAAUGGCUCACCUAGGCGACGAUCCCUAGCUGGUCUUAGAGGAGUAUCAGCCACACGGGGACUGAGACCCGGCCCAGGCUCCUACGGAGGCAGCAGUGGGGAAUAUUGCGCAAUGGGCGCAAGCCUGAUGCAGCCAUGCGGCGUGGAGGAUGAAGGCCCUAGGGUUGGAAAGUACUUUCAGUCGGGAGGCGUUACCGACAGAAGAAGCACCGGCUAACUCCGUGCCAGCAGCCGCGGUAAUAC
rnacentral:rRNA from 1 species